rnacentral:rRNA from 1 species
AUUGAACGCUGGCGGCAGGCCUAAUACAUGCAAGUCGAACGGUAACAUAAAAGAAGCUUGCUUCUUUUGAUGACGAGUGGCGGACGGGUGAGUAAUAUUCGGGAAACUACCUGAUAGAGGGGGACAACAGUUGGAAACGACUGCUAAUACCGCAUAAAGCCUGAGGGUGAAAGCAGCAAUGCGCUAUCAGAUGUGCCCAAACGGGAUUAGCUAGUAGGUGAGGUAAAGGCUCACCUAGGCGACGAUCUCUAGCUGGUCUGAGAGGAUGAUCAGCCACAUUGGGACUGAGACACGGCCCAGACUCCUACGGGAGGCAGCAGUAGGGAAUAUUGCACAAUGGAGGAAACUCUGAUGCAGCCAUGCCGCGUGUGUGAAGAAGGCCUUCGGGUUGUAAAGCACUUUCGGAGGGGAGGAAAAGAUGACGUUACCCUCAGAAGAAGCACCGGCUAACUCCGUG